GCUCAACCGGGGAGGGUCAUUGGAAACUGGGGAACUUGAGUGCAGAAGAGGAGAGUGGAAUUCCACGUGUAGCGGUGAAAUGCGUAGAGAUGUGGAGGAACACCAGUGGCGAAGGCGACUCUCUGGUCUGUAACUGACGCUGAGGCGCGAAAGCGUGGGGAGCGAACAGGAUUAGAUACCCUGGUAGUCCACGCCGUAAACGAUGAGUGCUAAGUGUUAGAGGGUUUCCGCCCUUUAGUGCUGCAGCAAACGCAUUAAGCACUCCGCCUGGGGAGUACGGUCGCAAGACUGAAACUCAAAGGAAUUGACGGGGGCCCGCACAAGCGGUGGAGCAUGUGGUUUAAUUCGAAGCAACGCGAAGAACCUUACCAGGUCUUGACAUCCUCUGACAACCCUAGAGAUAGGGCUUCCCCUUCGGGGGCAGAGUGACAGGCGGUGCAUGGUUGUCGUCAGCUCGUGUCGUGAGAUGUUGGGUUAAGUCCCGCAACGAGCGCAACCCUUGAUCUUAGUUGCCAGCAUUCAGUUGGGCACUCUAAGGUGACUGCCGGUGACAAACCGGAGGAAGGUGGGGAUGACGUCAAAUCAUCAUGCCCCUUAUGACCUGGGCUACACACGUGCUACAAUGGGCAGAACAAAG
rnacentral:rRNA from 1 species